GAUGAAGAACGUAGCGAAAUGCGAUAAGUAGUGUGAAUUGCAGAAUUCAGUGAAUCAUCGAAUCUUUGAACGCACAUUGCGCCCCAUGGUAUUCCGUGGGGCAUGCCUGUUCGAGCGUCAUUUACCCCCUCAAGCUCCGCUUGGUGUUGGGCGUCUGUCCCACUUCGCGCGCGGACUCGCCCCAAAGGUAUUGGCAGCGGUCGUGCCAGCUUCUCGCGCAGCACAUUGCGCUUCUCGAGGCACCGGUGGGCCCGCGUCCAUCAAGCUCACCCCCCCAGUUUGACCUCGGAUCAGGUAGGGAUACCCGCUGAACUUAAGCAUAUCAAUAAGCGGAGGA
rnacentral:misc_RNA from 1 species